AGUGUAGGCGGAGAUGCAAGUCCGAUGUGAAAUCCCCCGGCUCAACCGGGGAAUAGCAUUGGAUACUGCAUUUCUUGAGUGUGGUAGGGGAGAGUGGAACUCUUGGUGGAGCGGUGAAAUGCGUAGAUAUCAAGAGGAACGCCGGUGGCGAAAGCGACUCUCUGGACCAUUACUGACGCUGAGGCUCGAAAGCUAGGGUAGCGAACG
rnacentral:rRNA from 1 species